rnacentral:rRNA from 1 species
AGCGAACGCUGGCGGCAGGCUUAACACAUGCAAGUCGAACGGGCAUCUUCGGAUGUCAGUGGCAGACGGGUGCGUAACACGUGGGAACGUACCCUUCGGUUCGGAAUAACUCAGGGAAACUUGAGCUAAUACCGGAUACGCCCUUUUGGGGAAAGGUUUACUGCCGAAGGAUCGGCCCGCGUCUGAUUAGCUUGUUGGUGGGGUAACGGCCUACCAAGGCGACGAUCAGUAGCUGGUCUGAGAGGAUGAUCAGCCACACUGGUACUGAGACACGGCCCAGACUCCUACGGGAGGCAGCAGUGGGGAAUAUUGGACAAUGGGCGCAAGCCUGAUCCAGCCAUGCCGCGUGAGUGAUGAAGGCCUUAGGGUUGUAAAGCUCUUUUGUCCGGGACGAUAAUGACGGUACCGGAAGAAUAAGCCCCGGCUAACUUCGUG